AAAUGUUAAAGAGGUUGCCAGUGUAUG
rnacentral:piRNA from 1 species